CGUUCAAAAACCGGUUCUCGAACGAUAGCCGAAGUUAAGCAACGCCGAGCCUGGUCAGUACCUUGGUGGGUGACCGCUUAGGAAUACCAGGUGCUGUAAG